rnacentral:pre_miRNA from 1 species
UGUUAGGUUGAUGCAAAAGUAAUUGUGGUUUUUGCCAUUGAAAGUAAUAGCAAAAACCACAAUUAUUUUUGCACCAACCUAAUA